UUUUCGUUUUUUCAUGUUCAAUGUUUGACCAUUUGUCAUAUUUGAAAUUUUUUUACGAUUAAUAUAUAUUUUUAUUAUUACUAGAUGAUAAAAUAUAAAUAAUACUUUAUACGUGACUAAUUUUUUAAGUUUUUUUAAUAAAUUUUUCAAAUAAAACGAAUGGUCAAACGUUAGACCCGAAAAAACAAAAAUAAGAUUAUU
rnacentral:pre_miRNA from 1 species